CCUACGGGUGGCAGCAGUAGGGAAUUUUCCACAAUGGGCGAAAGCCUGAUGGAGCAACGCCGCGUGGGUGAAGAAGGUCUUCGGAUCGUAAAACCCUGUUGUUAGAGAAGAAAGUGCGUGAGAGUAACUGUUCACGUUUCGACGGUAUCUAACCAGAAAGUCACGGCUAACUACGUGCCAGCAGCCGCGGUAAUACGUAGGUGGCAAGCGUUAUCCGGAUUUAUUGGGCGUAAAGGGAACGCAGGCGGUCUUAUAAGUCUGAUGUGAAAGCCUUCGGCUUAACCGGAGUAGUGCAUUGGAAACUGUGGGACUUGAGUGCAGAAGAGGAGAGUGGAACUCCAUGUGUAGCGGUGAAAUGCGUAGAUAUAACGCAGAACUCCGAUUGCGAAGGCAGCAUACCGGCGCGCAACUGACGCUCAGGCACGAAAGCGUGGGUAGCGAACAGGAUUAGAUACCCCUGUAGUC
rnacentral:rRNA from 1 species